rnacentral:rRNA from 1 species
CCUUGUGUGACGGUACCGAAUGAAUAAGCCCCGGCUAACUCCGUGCCAGCAGCCGCGGUAAUACGGAGGGUGCGAGCGUUGUCCGGAUUUAUUGGGUUUAAAGGGUGCGUAGGUGGCUUUAUAAGUCAGUGGUGAAAUACAGCCGCUCAACGGUUGAGGUGCCAUUGAUACUGUAGAGCUUGAAACAAUUGGAGGCUGCCGGAAUGGAUGGUGUAGCGGUGAAAUGCAUAGAUAUCAUCCAGAACACCGAUUGCGAAGGCAGGUGGCUACGUUUGAUUUGACACUGAGGCACGAAAGCAUGGGGAGCAAACAGGAUUAGAUACCCUGGUAGUCCAUGCUGUAAACGAUGAGGACUCGCUGUUGGGCUGUCACGGUCCAACGGCUUAGGGAAACCGUUAAGUCCUCCACCUGGGGAGUACGCC